GAUGAACGCUGGCGGUAUGCCUAACACAUGCAAGUCGAACGGGCUUUUCGGAGCUAGUGGCGGACGGGUGAGUAACGCGUGAGAAUCUGCCUUCAGGAUGGGGAUAACAGGGAGAAAUCGCUGCUAAAACCCAAUGUGCCGAAAGGUGAAAUACUUGUAGCCAGAAGAGGAGCUCGCGUCCGAUUAGUUAGUUGGUGGGGUAAGAGCCUACCAAGGCAGCGAUCGGUCGCUGGUCUGAGAGGAUGAGCAGCCACCCUGGGACUGAGACACGGCCCAGGAUCCUACGGGAGGCAGCAGUGGGGAAUUUUCCGCAAUGGGCGAAAGCCUGACGGAGCAAUACCGCGUGAGGGAGGAAGGCUUUUGGGUUGUAAACCUCUUUUGUUAAGGAAGAAGAAAGUGACGGUACUUAAAGAAUAAGCAUCGGCUAACUCCGUGCCAGCCGCCGCAGUAA
rnacentral:rRNA from 1 species